UCCGCCCAGGCCGAUCCCGGAGCCGGCGCUGCCGCGAGGCACCAAACCAAAGCCCCGACCUCGGGGCGUGCAGAGCUUUUUAUUUACUGCGCCUUUUGCCUUACUCCAGACUCUGCGGUGAGCUGGUUUGUACCCCCAUUUGAAAAAUUAAAAUCCACAGAACUCGAGCUCCCAAGUGCAUUUUGAACAACCGGGGACUACUGAGCCAGGCACCCAAAAGGAGGAGCCCACAUGCGUGCUCUGCAGCGCGCGCGCGCACACACAGCAAGCAGCUCGGAUCGGGGCUCCCUGGUGCUUCAAGAUCAUUACUACGCCAAGAAUUCAGUUUUAGGAGCUCUGGUAGAACAGAGGGCUUGCAUAGCAGGCUGGACGCAACAACAACAACAACAAAAAAGUGAAUUAAGGUCCUCCUGCCCACGCCGACUCCCUAGGCUCAGCGUGCUCACCGGGUCCGGCUUCUCCCCGAGCUGCCUCUGCUCUGGGGUCCCCGAGUCUCUGCGAUUCCUUCUUUCCACUUGCUCAAGCUGAGCUGUCAAGAGCUCACACCUAAACACUGAAGCACAGCCCUCCCCUCCCGAAGGAACAACGGAUCUCUCAACACAAACAUCCGCCUGGAGGGCAGACCCCGGAGCUCACUCCCUGGCUGUUAGCCUAACCUCUGCAGUCUCCUGCCCCGCCCCGAGAACAAACCACUAAAGCCAAUAAAAGACCUUCGUU
rnacentral:lncRNA from 1 species